rnacentral:rRNA from 1 species
CCUACGGGAGGCAGCAGUAGGGAAUAUUGCUCAAUGGGGGAAACCCUGAAGCAGCAACGCCGCGUGGAGGAUGAAGGUUCUCGGAUUGUUAACCCUCUUUGUUAGAGAAGAUAAUGACGGUAUCUAACGAAUAAGCACCGGCUAACUCCGUGACAGCAGCCGCGGUAAUACGGAGGGUGCAAGCGUUACUCGGAAUCACUGGGCGUAAAGCGCGCGUAGGCGGGAUAGCAAGUCAGAUGGGAAAUCCUAGGGCUUAACCAUAGAACUGCAGUUGAAACUGGUAUUCUAGAGUUUGGGAGAGGUAGGUGGAAUGCUUGGUGUAGUGGUGAAAUGCGUAGAGAUCAAGAAGAAUACUGAUUGCGAAGGCAGCCUGCUGGAACAUAACUGACGCUGAUGCGCGAAAGCGUGGGGAGCGAACAGGAUUAGAUACCCGGGUAGUC